rnacentral:SRP_RNA from 1 species
UUUGCCCCGAGCGACGGCUUCCCCGUAAACCCCGUCAGGACCGGAAGGUAGCAGCGGUAGCGGGGGGCCGGGUGCCCGGGGCUCUUUU